GUGGGGAAUAUUGGACAAUGGGCGAAAGCCUGAUCCAGCCAUGCCGCGUGUGUGAAGAAGGUCUUCGGAUUGUAAAGCACUUUAAGUUGGGAGGAAGGGUAGUAACCUAAUACGUUGCUACUUUGACGUUACCGACAGAAUAAGCACCGGCUAACUUCGUGCCAGCAGCCGCGGUAAUACGAAGGGUGCAAGCGUUAAUCGGAAUUACUGGGCGUAAAGCGCGCGUAGGUGGUUCAUUAAGUUGGAAGUGAAAUCCCCGGGCUCAACCUGGGAACUGCUUUCAAAACUGGUGAGCUAGAGUACGGUAGAGGGUGGUGGAAUUUCCUGUGUAGCGGUGAAAUGCGUAGAUAUAGGAAGGAACAUCAGUGGCGAAGGCGACCACCUGGACUGAUACUGACACUGAGGUGCGAAAGCGUGGGGAGCAAACAGGAUUAGAUACCCUUGUAGUCC
rnacentral:rRNA from 1 species